rnacentral:rRNA from 1 species
ACGGCUCAGUAACACGUAGUCAACCUGCCCUUGGGUCGAGAACAAUCUCGGGAAACUGAGGCUAAUUCUCGAUAAAUCAAGAUUCCUGGAAUGGGUUUUGGUCAAAAUGAAGUAACAGCAUCUUGUUAUUUUCGCCCAAGGAUGGGACUGCGGCCGAUCAGGCUGUUGGUGGGGUAAAGGCCCACCAAACCAGUAACCGGUACGGGCUUUGAGAGAAGGAGCCCGGAGAUGGACACUGAGACAAGGGUCCAGGUCCUACGGGGCGCAGCAGGCGCGAAACCUUCGCAAUGCGCGCAAGCGCGACGAGGUUAUUCCGAGUGAUUUCCGCUGAGGAAAUCUUUUCUUAGAUCUAAAAAGUCUGGGGAAUAAGGGGAGGGCAAGUCUGGUGUCAGCCGCCGCGGUAAUACCAGCUCCUCGAGUGGUCAGGGCGUUUAUUGGGCCUAAAGCAUCCGUAGCCGGCUCAUUAGGUCUCCUGUUAAAUCCAACGGCUCAACCGUUGGUCUGCAGGAGAUACCGAUGGGCUAGGAGGCGGGAGAGGCGGACGGUACUCCGAGGGUAGGGGUAAAAUCCUUUGAUCCCCGGAAGACCACCAGUGGCGAAGGCGGUCCGCCAGAACGCGCUCGACGGUGAGGGAUGAAAGCUGGGGGAGCGAACCGGAUUAGAUACCCGGGUAGUCCCAGCUGUAAACGAUGCGAGCUAGGUGACACAAGGCCUUCGGGGCCUUGUGGUGCCGCAGGGAAGCCGUUAAGCUCGCCGCCUGGGGAGUACGGACGCAAGUCUGAAACU